UACGGAGGGUGCAGGCGUUAUCCGGAUUCACUGGGUUUAAAGGGUGCGUAGGUGGGCAAGUAAGUCAGUGGUGAAAUCUCCGGGCUUAACCCGGAAACUGCCAUUGAUACUAUUUGUCUUGAAUACUGUGGAGGUCAGCGGAAUAUGUCAUGUAGCGGUGAAAUGCUUAGAUAUGACAUAGAACACCAAUUGCGAAGCAGCUGGCUACACGAAUAUUGACACUGAGGCACGAAAGCGUGGGGAUCAAACAGG
rnacentral:rRNA from 1 species